rnacentral:rRNA from 1 species
AACGAACGCUGGCGGCAGGCUUAACACAUGCAAGUCGAACGCCCCGCAAGGGGAGUGGCCGCCGGGUGAGUAACGCGUGGGAACAUACCCUUUUCUACGGAAUAGCUCUGGGAAACUGGAAUUAAUACCGUAUACGCCCUACGGGGGAAAGAUUUAUCGGGGAAGGAUUGGCCCGCGUUGGAUUAGCUAGUUGGUGGGGUAAAGGCCUACCAAGGCGACGAUCCAUAGCUGGUGUGAGAGGAUGAUCAGCCACAUUGGGACUGAGACACGGCCCAAACUCCUACGGGAGGCAGCAGUGGGGAAUAUUGGACAAUGGGCGCAAGCCUGAUCCAGCCAUGCCGCGUGAGUGAUGAAGGCCUUAGGGUUGUAAAGCUCUUUCACCGAUGAAGAUAAUGACGGUAGUCGGAGAAGAAGCCCCGGCUAACUUCGUG